UACGGACGGUGCUAGCGUUACUCGGAAUUACUGGGCGUAAAGCGCACGUAGGCGGUCUGUCAAGUCGGAUGUGAAAUCCCCGGGCUUAACCUGGGAACUGCAUCGGAAACUGGCAGGCUAGAGUCCUGUAGAGGGGAGUAGAACUCCAGGUGUAGCGGUGAAAUGCGUAGAGAUCUGGAGGAAUACCGGUGGCGAAGGCGGCCCCCUGGACAAAGACUGACGCUCAGGUGCGAAAGCGUGGGGAGCAAACAGG
rnacentral:misc_RNA from 1 species